rnacentral:lncRNA from 1 species
UACAAGUAAUACACCUGGCAGACAUUUUUUUAACUACUGCUGUUACCUUGCUUACCAUGGAAUAUUAGUAACUAGAGUCCAACUUCGUAUAGAUCUAUGUGAAGUCAAUAAAGAAGCUCUUGAGAAUUUUGGAAAGGGUAAGUAAACAAAUUCCUCGCUCUAUAUGUUCCCUACAUUUAUUUAUGAGAAGCUAAAAUAUAGCUGAAAUUAUGCCAACAAUUACAUUGAAAAAUAAGAUCCCCUUGUAUUCUAUUAGAAUAAUAUAGUUAUUUGGUUUUUUGAAAAAUUUGCUUCGCCUCGUGCUUCUUGUAAAUAAAUAGUAUCUCAAGAGACUAUAAUUUGAACUAAAUUAGAAUUAGUCCUAUUUUUUACUAAUUUAAAUUUGAUUGGAGUUCUUCAACUUUUGAUUGAAAUUUGGAAGAUCUAGAGGAAUUUUCGACUUUUUAAACUUGGUCAAUAACUAUACAAAAUCCUCAUUCAUUGUAGAUUGAAAAAAAAGUGGUAUUUUUACCAAUUGCUGCUUCAUCAUGCCUUGAUGUUUGUCACUUUCAAGCUAAUUCUUGUAUAGGAGGUCUUCAUUCAAUAAUUAGCUAAUCAACUGGUUCAUUGUUUCAGUUGACCAGAUGGUGAUCAAAUUUAUGGAGUUUUGACAAUCAGCUGCUAGGUGCUUUGAGAAAACUCCCAUUUCAUCAGCAUCUUUCUUUGCAAAAUGUGAGAAAAAUUAUUUCGGAAAAUGAUAAUCAUCAGCUACUCUUGAUUGCUCGUGAACAAGGUUACCAACUUAUCAAGGGAUCAUCAGCUCAAACUUCUGGUGAUGUAAGCAAUUUUGAUAUACCUCUCCAGGAAGAUAACAAUUUUUUGGCAAAUCACCAGAAUGCCCACUAAGGCUCUUCACAUCACUACCAGGAAGUCGCCUUUUGGUUAUGGUUUUCACCAUAAGUCUAAUAAUAUGCUUCUCUUAACAUGUGAAUAUCCUUAAUGCUUGGCAAAAUGAUGCCGGAAUGCACAAAUUUUUGGAGCUAUGGUUUCUAUUGUUUUUAAUGGAUGUGUAGUAUAGGUUGGUUUAUCAAUUACUUGGGACUGGUUAUUGGUAUUUAAUUGCGUAGAUUUGUCAUCCGUAAUGCAAUAUUUUGACACGUUAACAUUACCUUAAAAAUAACACAAUGCAAGGUCAAAAGACUAGUGUAUGAAUAAUUGGAAAAAUUAAUA